UACGUAGGGUGCAAGCGUUGUCCGGAAUUAUUGGGCGUAAAGAGCUCGUAGGCGGUCUGUCGCGUCUGCUGUGAAAAACUCGGGGGCUUAACCCCCGGGCCUGCAGUGGGGUACGGGGCAGACUAGAGUGCGGUAGGGGGAGAAUGGAAAUUCCCGGUGUAGCGGUGAAAAUGCGCAGAUAUCGGGAGGAACACCGGUGGCG
rnacentral:rRNA from 1 species